AAGCGCUUGCAGUUAGACGUGCCGUUAGUUGCUCAGCCGGGCUUCUGCCCGGUGCACUCUUCUAUCGGCAGGCCAGCAUCAGUUUGGGCGGUUGGAUAAAGGUCUAUUAAACGUGACUCCCCUCGGGGAGAGCUUAUAGGGUAGACGCCGUGCAGCCAGCCCGAACUGAGGUCCGCGCAUCUGCUGGGAUGCUGGCGUAAUAGCUGUAAGCGGCCCGUC
rnacentral:rRNA from 1 species